rnacentral:misc_RNA from 1 species
CCAAUAGCGUAUAUUAAAGUUGUUGUGGUUAAAAAGCUCGUAGUUGAACCUUGGGCCUGGCUGGCCGGUCCGCCUCACCGCGUGUACUGGUCCGGCCGGGCCUUUCCCUCUGUGGAACCCCAUGCCCUUCACUGGGUGUGGCGGGGAAACAGGACUUUUACUUUGAAAAAAUUAGAGUGCUCCAGGCAGGCCUAUGCUCGAAUACAUUAGCAUGGAAUAAUAGAAUAGGACGUGUGGUUCUAUUUUGUUGGUUUCUAGGACCGCCGUAAUGAUUAAUAGGGACAGUCGGGGGCAUCAGUAUUCAAUUGUCAGAGGUGAAAUUCUUGGAUUUAUUGAAGACUAACUACUGCGAAAGCAUUUGCCAAGGAUGUUUUCAUUAAUCAGGAACGAAAGUUAGGGGAUCGAAGACGAUCAGAUACCGUCGUAGUCUUAACCAUAAACUAUGCCGACUAGGGAUCGGACGAUGUUACUUAUUGACUCGUUCGGCACCUUAUG